rnacentral:rRNA from 1 species
UGUGGUCAAGUUUCUAAGAGCAAACGGUGGAUGCCUUGGCAUCUGGAGCCGAAGAAGGACGUAGAAAUCUGCGAUAAGCCUCGGGGAGCUGAUAAUCGAGCCCUGAUCCGAGGAUGUCCGAAUGGGGAAACCCCGCCAGGCGUUUUGACCUGGUGACUCCCGCCUGAAUAUAUAGGGCGGGUAGAGGGAACGUGGGGAAGUGAAACAUCUCAGUACCCACAGGAAGAGAAAACAACAGUGAUUCCGUCAGUAGUGGCGAGCGAAAUCGGAAGAGGCUAAACCGGUCAUGUGUGAUAGACGGCGGUCGUUGCAUGGUCGGGGUUGUGGGACCCGUUGUCCUGUUCUGCCGGACAGGAGCAGUUACAGCGCAGUAUAGGCGAACAGCUUUGAAUGGCUGGUCAUAGAGGGUGCGAACCCCGUAGCCGAAAUGCUGGCGCUGGCUGAAUGGGGAUCCCAAGUAGCUCGGGGCCCGAGAAAUCCCGUGUGAAUCUGUCAGGACCACCUGAUAAGCCUAAAUACUCCCAGAUGACCGAUAGCGGACAAGUACCGUGAGGGAAAGGUGAAAAGUACCCCGGGAGGGGAGUGAAAUAGUACCUGAAACCGUUUGCUUACAAACCGUUGGAGCCUCCUUGUAGGGGUGACAGCGUGCCUUUUGAAGAAUGAGCCUGCGAGUUAGCGAUAUGUGGCGAGGUUAACCCGUGUGGGGUAGCCGUAGCGAAAGCGAGUCUUAAGAGGGCGAUACAGUCGCAUGUCCUAGACCCGAAGCGAAGUGAUCUAUCCAUGGCCAGGUUGAAGCGACGGUAAGACGUCGUGGAGGACCGAACCCACUUCAGUUGAAAAUGGAGGGGAUGAGCUGUGGAUAGGGGUGAAAGGCCAAUCAAACUUCGUGAUAGCUGGUUCUCUCCGAAAUGCAUUUAGGUGCAGCGUUGCGUGUUUCUUGCCGGAGGUAGAGCUACUGGAUGGCCGAUGGGGCCCAAAAGCUUACUGACGUCAGCCAAACUCCGAAUGCCGGUAAGUGAGAGCGCAGCAGUGAGACAGUGGGGGAUAAGCUUCAUUGUCGAGAGGGAAACAACCCAGACUACCAGCUAAGGUCCCUAAGCGUGUGCUAAGUGGGAAAGGAUGUGGAGUUGCAGAGACAACCAGGAGGUUGGCUUAGAAGCAGCCACCCUUGAAAGAGUGCGUAAUAGCUCACUGGUCAAGUGAUUCCGCGCCGACAAUGUAACGGGGCUCAAGCACACCACCGAAGCUGUAGAUUUCGUAUUAUAGACAAGCCUUCGUGGUUCAGUCGUACGGAGUGGUAGGAGAGCGUCGUGUGGCCAGUGAAGCGGCGGUGUAAACCAGCCGUGGAGGCCACACGAGUGAGAAUGCAGGCAUGAGUAGCGAAAGACGGGUGAGAAACCCGUCCUCCGAAAGACCAAGGGUUCCAGGGCCAGGUUAAUCCGCCCUGGGUAAGUCGGGACCUAAGGCGAGGCCGACAGGCGUAGUCGAUGGACAACGGGUUGAUAUUCCCGUACCGGCGAAGAACCGCCCAAGAUAAUCCAGUGGUGCUAAGAGUCCUAACCCGGCUGAGUGGAUCCCUUCGGGGUGAUGCCGGCCGGUCUAACGCUCGACCCCAUGCUGGUGCGUUUAGCGUAUUAACAGGUGUGACGCAGGAAGGUAGCUGAGCCAGGCGAUGGUAUCCGUAAGGUGAACCUGGUGUAAGGAUGUAGGGCUGACGAUAGGCAAAUCCGUCGUCAAUGCGCCUGAGAUCCGAUGCGUACCCCGAUUGGGGGAAAUCAGUGAUCCUAUGCUGCCGAGAAAAGCAUCGACGCGAGGUUCAAGCCGCCCGUACCCCAAACCGACUCAGGUGGUCAGGUAGAGAAUACCAAGGAGAUCGAGAGAAUCGUGGUUAAGGAACUCGGCAAAAUGCCCCCGUAACUUCGGGAGAAGGGGGGCCGGAACCGUGAUGGGAUUUACUCCCGGAGCGGGAAAGGCCGCAGAGACCAGUGGGAAGCGACUGUUUACUAAAAACACAGGUCCGUGCCAAGUCGCAAGACGAUGUAUACGGACUGACGCCUGCCCGGUGCUGGAAGGUUAAGAGGAACGGUUAGCGCAAGCGAAGCUGAGAAUUUAAGCCCCAGUAAACGGCGGUGGUAACUAUAACCAUCCUAAGGUAGCGAAAUUCCUUGUCGGGUAAGUUCCGACCUGCACGAAUGGCGUAACGACUUCCCAGCUGUCUCAACCGCGAACUCGGCGAAAUUGCACUACGAGUAAAGAUGCUCGUUACGCGCAGCAGGACGGAAAGACCCCGUGACCUUUACUACAGCUUGGUAUUGGUGUUCGGAGUGGCUUGUGUAGGAUAGGUGGGAGACUGUGAAGCUUGGACGCUAGUUCAGGCGGAGUCAUUGUUGAAAUACCACUCUGGUCACUUUGGAUAUCUAACUACGAACCGUGAUCCGGUUCUGGGACAGUGCCUGGUGGGUAGUUUAACUGG